GACGAACGCUGGCGGCGUGCCUAAUACAUGCAAGUCGAGCGGACGAAUCGAAAGCUUGCUUUUGAUUCGUUAGCGGCGGACGGGCGAGUAACACGUGGGCAACCUGCCCUGUAGACGGGGAUAACACCGAGAAAUCGGUGCUAAUACCGGAUAACGCGAAAUGUCGCAUGACGUUUCGUUGAAAGACGGCGCAAGCUGUCGCUACAGGAUGGGCCCGCGGCGCAUUAGCUAGUUGGUGAGGUAACGGCUCACCAAGGCGACGAUGCGUAGCCGACCUGAGAGGGUGAUCGGCCACACUGGGACUGAGACACGGCCCAGACUCCUACGGGAGGCAGCAGUAGGGAAUCUUCCGCAAUGGACGAAAGUCUGACGGAGCAACGCCGCGUGAGUGAAGAAGGCCUUCGGGUCGUAAAGCUCUGUUGUUAGGGAAGAACAAGUAACGCAGUAACUGGCGUUACCGUGACGGUACCUAACGAGAAAGCCACGGCUAACUACGUGCCAGCCGCCGCCGUAA
rnacentral:rRNA from 1 species